GUCGAGAAUCUUCGGCAAUGGGCGCAAGCCUGACCGAGCGACGCCGCGUGGAGGACGAAGGCCUUCGGGUUGUAAACUCCUGUCGAGGGGGAGGAAGGCUCCGCAAGGGGCUUGACCGAUCCCUGGAGGAAGCACGGGCUAAGUUCGUGCCAGCAGCCGCGGUAAGACGAACCGUGCGAACGUUAUUCGGAAUCACUGGGCUUAAAGCGCGUGUAGGCGGAUUGGUGCGUCGGCGCCUGAAAUCCCCCGGCUCAACCGGGGAACGCGGCCCGAAACGACCAGUCUGGAGGGACGUAGGGGGAACUGGAACUUCCGGUGGAGCGGUGAAAUGCGUUGAGAUCGGAAGGAACGCCCGUGGCGAAAGCGAGUUCCUGGACGUCUGCUGACGCUGAGACGCGAAAGCUAGGGGAGCGAACGGGAUUAGAUACCCUAGUAGUCC
rnacentral:rRNA from 1 species